UGAAAGGACGUUUACGCCUUUCCUGUUCAAGAUACGGCAAAACGGACAAAAUUUUCACGCAAAGCGCUCUAACUUUAUCAUUUCAGUAGGAAUUGACACUUUUCAAUCUCCGAAAUUCAAAUUUCGAAUUUCAACCCCUUUAGGCCAUGGCGCACGGGUCUAGGGGUGGUUUUAGGAUCCCAAAUUUUUCGUAGCUUAUUUUUAGCCUAUUUGGCCACUAAAAAUCAUGGUGAGCCCGGGCGCCGCGAAAAGUCAGUUUUAGCGCUCCGCCCUACUGAUGAAGUCUAAGAGCCACAAGCUAUUUUUCUCUAAAGAGAGCUGUCACUAACCAGUGUUUAUCGAAGAAAAAUUAUGAGUGUCGAACACCACUCUGUCCAUGGACACAACAUCAAACGAGUUGUUCUUUUAAGAAGCCAGAAAAUGUAGUGUCUUCUUAAUUAAGGCUUUUGAUUUUCUCUUGGUGAUUUGAGAAUGUGUAUAUGCCUAUCAAUUGCCUCAGCAACAAAUGCAUGGAAAUUCCCUGAUUAAAUCUUAUUAUCCAUAAAAAAAAAGUAAAUGUGAAAGGCAAUUGCACUCUGAAAAUGUUUCACUAACCCAUCAAAUGCCGAUCUUUUAUGGACAUUAACUGUUUAAUUUGCAUCUUUCUUGUUUUUUUUUCUUUUUAAUCAUUCAACUUAAGUAUUCCCUUUGCAUUUGAAACGUUGUCCAAUUUGAAUUUUUGUCGGUCAACUUACAUCAUCACUUCUUAUCUGUUACAGAAAUUGACAGACCCAGAGACCAAGAUCAAGAUCAAUGACCAGGAAAUCAACAUCAUGGAAAACGAAAUGAAUGCAAAGAAAGAUGAGCUUUUCAAAGUAUUCAUCAGCAAUUUACCGCAAUCCACAACGGAAGAAAAGUUCAAAACAAAAAUUCAGGAAGUAAUGACUGAAGAUGAAAUCGAAAGCAUUACAUUCCCUCUGGACAAGGACGAAAGCAAAUCCCGAGGCUUCGCUUUCAUCAUCCUCAAGAAUAAUGAAUCAAUGAAGAAACUGUUGGCGCUGGACCAGAAACUAGAGCUGGACAACUGCGAGCUGAACAUCCGAGUCUGCCACGAGGCCAACUCGGACGGACGAGGGCGAGGCAGCAAGCGCGGGUUCAAGAGCCGCGGAGGCGGCGGAUUCUACGGAGGCGGGCGAGGUCGCGGCGGCGGCGGUUUCUACGGAGGCCGCGGCGGCGGAGGCGGCUUCAGGCGCGGCUACUCGGACUGGUACGGCGGCCCCGGCGGACCGCGCAACUUCCGAGGCGGCAGCCGCGGCGGCGGCGGAUGGAAGCGAGGCGGAGGCGGCUACGGCGGCGGCUAUGGAGGCGGCGGAGGUGGCGGACGCUACGGCAACAUGACCUGGUUCUAGAUUCCGCUUGAUCUUCACGCGAGGGCUACCGCGGAGGGGCUCGAGCAGGGCUUAGGGAAAAUUGUUGAGAUGCUUGUUCGCAUUGAGUGUCAGGAUUCACGCUGAAUUAGUUUGUGCACUCCCAGAGUGAGGCCGGAGUUUUGCCAUCUUUUGUACUGACAUGAAGAUGGUCAAACUUGUUCUGCUGUCAUCGGAAAGAACGCCGUAGCUCCAAUCAUGAGCCUGCAUUUUUCUUCCUGUUCUAUUUUGACAAAAUCUCACCACCACGAUGCUUCAUUUUGUAUUUUUGAAUUCUCAAUGGUGUGUCACGGUUAUUUUAGAAUUAAGAGGGAUAAAUGUUUGAUGGUUUUUUUCGCGAUGCAUUUUAUCAGGAAAAAAAUGGAAAGAUAGUGUAUUUCCUUUGGAAAAUACACUAAUAAUCUAGAAUGUAGUGAAGGCGUUUUUUCUUUUGGACAGCAGUGUUACACUCUAAAAGUGCGUAAAUGUAUUUAGUAUGUACUCCAAAUUGAGGGUUUAGGUUUUGCCUUCAGAAUCAGUGCGAAGGCUAAACCGAAUAAAUACACGCGCCCAUUCGCUCCAGAAUCAUAAUUUUUUUUUGUUUCAUCCGACAAGUGUAUAUAUUUGAUAGUGAAAGUAAAGUUAUUUUUCAUGGCCAAUUUAGCUGAUAUCAUCUUUAUAUCAAGUUGGGGAAAAUUUUGGUGAACAAAGUUGUGUAAUUUCAUCGAAUUCACUUUGAUUUCUGUCGAUAUUUAAUUUCUGUCAUCAUUCCUUUGCCUUUACAUUAUUCUCAAUUUAAGAGCUUUAUCUUGGAAAAAGUUUUCUCAUUCAUUGUGUUGAACUUAGAGAAAGGAAGUAUUUACUUAAGUUGCGUGUAUCAUUGAAACUUGAGAUCCCUCCAAAAAUCAGAUAGUAGAUAAGAAAAUGAGAUGCGUCAAUAUUGAUGCCAGAGAAAACAAUUUUUUCUAAGCCCUGAGGCUUUAUAAUGUACAUAACACACUGCCCGUAUGCAGUAUUGUGCUCAUUUGAUGGGUAACAUUCUUAUCAGAGUCCGAAGUAACCGAUGUCCCCAUGAGACUAAAAUCUACAAGAAUAUUCUUAUUUUAACCAUCUUUGUCACUUUUCUGUCUGUGGAAUCAAUCUAGAUUGUAACUGACGUAUCUUAGAAUUCAUCAGCAUGCCUUUUUCCCUCCAAUCUCUAAUCAGAAUGUUUCUCAUCAAAGUUUUGGCAGCUGGUAAACCUUGCCCUCCCGCUUCGAGUUGGUAGCCCGCGCUCGUUCCAAAUUUUACCUCAUUGAAACUUUUUUCUAUCAAAGAAUUGUGCAUUUUAUACCUUCCAUGGUUUUUUAUGUGUAACUAUAAUUAUAGUUAAUCCGGUUGCCUCAGCAUCCUUCCUGAUAACUGUUUCUCCUCUUCAACUUCUGUUCGAUCAGAUAAAUCGGACUUCAUCCACCUUUUCUCUCUUUUAAAGACCGUCAAUUUUGCUGGUCCAACAAGUCCUGGUCAUUAUGAAAGGUUUCUAUAAAAAAAAAUUCGAUCCAAACCUCACCGAUUUAAGAUUUUAUUUUAUGACUCCGCAUGGAAAUACUGUACAAAUGCCAACCCCCAAGUUAUUCAGGAAAACCCAAACUUUUCCAAUAAGUGUGUAAGUUAAGAUUUAUGAUAGUUGAAAUCCUUUUUCGAACUAAAUGUGGUUCUUGUAAAUGAGAAAUUGAUCUUUUUCAGUAUUUACGGCUUUAUUUUAUUAUUUUAUCAUCAUCUUUUUUUUUAAGUCAGUUUUUGAUCUUAAUUGGAACUUAGUACAAUUUCCAAACUGUCAGCUUGACUGUAAUCAGAAAUGAAUAAAUAAAUGUGGUUGUACAAACUUUUACCUAGUUUUUUUUUGUUUGUUUUUGCUGUCCAGCAAUUCUGUCACUAAAAUCAACCCGUGGACAUCAGAUCUAUUUUUGUGUAGUAAAUUCCUGCUCUUGCCAGGCAACAAACAAUUUAAAUGUUGCAGAAUAGUGCAUAGUUUCAUCUCCUUGCCUUGUGAGGGCAGGUCGUCCAAUCCUGUCCUAACUAAUUUUUCAGCAUACUUUAGUAAAGCUCUGAAAUGAAUCGUCUGUACCAACAGCCAUGUUGAUGGGAAGUAGAUAUUAUUUAUCUCAAAAGUUGAUCAAUGACUGAAGUAAGUAAAUAACUGCCUUUGUCACCACUUAUCACGCCAUCGCAAAUCUCUGUUUAUAUUUUACUCUUUUUAUUAGGAAAUUAACCAUCAAUCAAUCUUGCAAUUCUCGGUGAAUUUUCCUAAUUUGCUCCAAAAUACUGCCAGAAAUUUCAAAAAGAUUUUUCACACGAAGUUUCCUGUUUAAAUAAUAAAGAAGACUGAAGACUCAAAGGGUUGCACCAGAGACGCACAUUUUCACUUAAUUCACUUAACCUUCAAUGGCACUAAUUUAUUUUAGAUCUCAGAUUCUGGGGGACACAUAUCUAUGUCAUAGCUUUAGUAAAACAUAGUCCCAAAUUUUUUCCUGAAUAUUCUGGUAAUUAUUUUUUCAAAAAAGAGAACUUCAUUAAGAAUUUUCAACAUCAUACCACAGAGAAAUGGUUCAAUUUUUUAAAAAACCAAAAAAUGCACUGUUACGAGUAAGGAACACUAUACCUGAGUAGGUCGAGCUAUGGACAUGAUUCAAUUAUGCAGUUCACUAGCCCAAAAAUAUAGUAAUUAACAUGAAUUACCAAUAAAAUACAAAAUCACAAGGAUCGCUUUCGAUAAUUGCCUUAAGCGCCAAAAUCCCUUUUAACUCGUCUCCAUUUUUUUCAUCCCUGCAGUUUACAACUACAGUUACAAUUGCUGUUUAUGUUCAUUUUUCAUCUUGGAACCUUUGCUUAUUUGUGAGCGCAACCAGCUCUUAUUUCAUCAGGAGAAGUAGAUUCAAAAUUGAUUCUACAUUGAAGUGGUGUGGUUUACUCAGCACUAUUUACCCUGGAUAUCUGUUCAAAAAACUUGAAUGAAACUUUGAUGGCUGCGAAUUUUUAAUUGAUGACCCUGGGAGAUUCUGAACCAAUAGUAAGUACCUGGAAAUCAAUGAGAGCUCGUAUUUUCAUUUCAAUUAUUAGUGAGGAAGACACCGUGUAUCAUCCGAAAGAGGUCGUAUCCUCACUUUUCAAAAAUAGCGGGAACAGGGGGAAGUGAGUAGUACCAUUGAAAGCCUUCUUAGUUUUCACUACUUACUGCCAAGAAGUUUCGGUAACUCAAUUCUUUAUUCUGGCAAUAAUCGCAACGCAGGAAAUGAAAUUUUUAAUGCCUUCGAAAUUAAUUUUUCAAUAUUCUUGAUUUUAUUUUCGCUCAUCACAUUUUAAACUUCGAGUAUUAGUAAGUUUUGAUUUUCUCUGUUGGUAGCUUGGAGACCAACAACAACCCGGCUUUUAGGUUAUGUUUACUUCUUAACGAGGCGGAAAUCGAGCAUUUUGAAUUUCGUUCAAUUUCAAUACGUUUAAUUAAAGUGGUUUAUUCAAAUUAGUUCAUUUUUUAAAUUCAAAUUUGAAAAUAUUCGA
rnacentral:lncRNA from 1 species